AGUGAACGCUGGCGGUAGGCCUAACACAUGCAAGUCGAACGGCAGCACAGUAAGAGCUUGCUCUUACGGGUGGCGAGUGGCGGACGGGUGAGGAAUACAUCGGAAUCUACUUUUUCGUGGGGGAUAACGUAGGGAAACUUACGCUAAUACCGCAUACGACCUACGGGUGAAAGCAGGGGAUCUUCGGACCUUGCGCGAUUGAAUGAGCCGAUGUCGGAUUAGCUAGUUGGCGGGGUAAAGGCCCACCAAGGCGACGAUCCGUAGCUGGCCUGAGAGGAUGAUCAGCCACACUGGAACUGAGACACGGUACAGACUCCUACGGGAGGCAGCAGUGGGGAAUAUUGGACAAUGGGCGAAAGCCUGAUCCAGCCAUACCGCGUGGGUGAAGAAGGCCUUCGGGUUGUAAAGCCCUUUUGUUGGGAAAGAAAAGCAGCAGGUUAAUACCCCGCUGUUCUGACGGUACCCAAAGAAUAAGCACCGGCUAACUUCGUG
rnacentral:rRNA from 1 species